rnacentral:rRNA from 1 species
AGAAUUGAUCUUGGUCAGGACGAACGCUGGCGGCGUGCCUAACACAUGCAAGUCGAGCGGAGAUGAUGUGAGGAGGUUUCGGAUGGAAUCACAUUAUUUAGCGGCGGACGGGUGAGUAACGCGUGAGCGACCAACCUUGCACAGGGGGAUAACGGACCGAAAGGUUCACUAAUACCGCAUGAGACCACAGUGUUGCAUGACACAGGGGUCAAAGGAGCAAUCCGGUGCAAGACGGGCUCGCGUCCGAUUAGGUAGUUGGUGGGUAACGGCCCACCAAGCCUAUGAUCGGUAGCCGACCUGAGAGGGUGAUCGGCCACAUUGGAACUGAGAUACGGUCCAAACUCCUACGGGAGGCAGCAGUGGGGAAUAUUGGGCAAUGGGGGAAACCCUGACCCAGCAACGCCGCGUGAAGGAAGAAGGUUUUCGGAUUGUAAACUUCUGUCCUUGGUGAAGAGAAGAAGACGGUAGCCAAGGAGGAAGCCCCGGCUAACUACGUGCCAGCCGCCGC